UACGUAGGGUGCAAGCGUUAAUCGGAAUUACUGGGCGUAAAGCGUGCGCAGGCGGUUUUGUAAGUCAGAUGUGAAAUCCCCGGGCUCAACCUGGGAAUGGCGAUGGAGACUGCAAGGCUAGAGUGUGUCAGAGGGGGGUAGAAUUCCACGUGUAGCAGUGAAAUGCGUAGAGAUGUGGAGGAACACCGAUGGCGAAGGCAGCCCCCUGGGAUAACACUGACGCUCAUGCACGAAAGCGUGGGGAGCAAACAGG
rnacentral:rRNA from 1 species